GAACGAGUCUCACAAACGUUAUUCGGAAUUACUGGGCUUAAAGGGUGCGUAGGCGGUGGAGUAAGUCGGGUGUGAAAUACCAUAGCUUAACUAUGGAACUGCACUCGAUACUACUUUGCUAGAGUAAGACAGAGGUGAGUGGAACUGAGGGUGGAGCGGUGAAAUGCGUUGAUAUCCUCAGGAACACCGGUGGCGAAGGCGACUCACUGGGUCUUUACUGACGCUGAUGCACGAAAGCUAGGGUAGCAAACGGG
rnacentral:rRNA from 1 species